GACGCACGCGGCGUUGGUAACGUCGCUCCGGUCUCUUCAAGUUCUUCGGAAAUGUCGGGUAAGAACAUGGUUUGUUUUUCUUCCGGUACCCUAGACACGCGCAUGGUUUAAAUAUUGUAAAAUUUGAAGAAGUGGGAGACUUACGUCAUAUUGGCAACACUUCCACGGUACGUUUUCUUCUUAUAAGGAACCGAUGCUUCAGUGUACGGAAGCGUCAAGUCCUCGGUGUCGAAGUAAAUAUCUUUAACCAGCGGUGGACAUCUCAUCAUCAAAGUAUCAACACCCAAAUAGGAAACCUGCGAAAAAGUAAUCGUUUGCUAAUUUAUCACUCUGGCAAAAUGUCCAACUUUCGACGUAUGUUUGAAAUAUCGAGAUUUACAAAUUGUGUAGAUCAGUGUCCAAUUGCAAUACUUUGUUUGACUACCCGUCAGUUACCUUUGUAUGCCUGUCGAUCAGCCAGUUCAACUCAAAGUCCUCAUCAUCAUCUCCGAAAGGAUUGAUCAGUUGCUCGGCAACCUGUAAAAAAUCGUAGCUCAACUGAUCUGCAGCUUACUGUACGGCAGAAAGUAUUUGAAUUCGGUCUGAUAUUGGUCAAAAAGCUGUGAAGUACCUUGAGCAAUCCCAUGAAGAAGAAGAACUGCAAAAUCGUGAAAAGUGGCAGGUAGAUGUCGACUUGCAUUUGGAACGGCUUUUUAGCUCCUUCUAUGUACUGACGACCAACGAGAGCAAUUGCGAAGAAGCUGUACGUCGCCAAAGUAACGACUUGGGUGUACACCAAUGGAAUCGACACCCAGUCGUAGCUCCAUAGAAGACCGCAUUUGGACCGAAAUUCGUUAAAUUCCUGUGUCGAUAAAAAAACCGGAUGUAAGAUCUACACUUUGUGAAUCUACUUGAAUGUGCAAGCGGGGACUUUAAAUUCGAUCGAAAAAUAUAUAUGGCUUUUACUCAAUCACAAUGGUCUACUAGUCUCGGUGUGCCAGACGACUGUGAAUCGGCUUUCGCAACAUGCUUGAAUUUUUCUCACCUGAAUCGACGACGUGGUCGAGGGUUGGAAAACGCCUUUUAACAGCUGAGCUGAUUGAACGGAGGACCAGAA